AAUCCAUAGGUUAAUGAGGCGAACCGGGGGAACUGAAACAUCUAAGUACCCCGAGGAAAAGAAAUCAACCGAGAUUCCCCCAGUAGCGGCGAGCGAACGGGGAGGAGCCCAGAGCCUGAAUCAGCAUGUGUGUUAGUGGAAGCGUCUGGAAAGGCGCGCGAUACAGGGUGACAGCCCCGUACACAAAAGCGCAUGUGCUGUGAGCUCGAUGAGUAGGGCGGGACACGUGGUAUCCUGUCUGAAUAUGGGGGGACCAUCCUCCAAGGCUAAAUACUCCUGACUGACCGAUAGUGAACCAGUACCGUGAGGGAAAGGCGAAAAGAACCCCGGCGAGGGGAGUGAAAAAGAACCUGAAACCGUGUACGUACAAGCAGUGGGAGCACCCUUUGGGGUGUGACUGCGUACCUUUUGUAUAAUGGGUCAGCGACUUAUAUUCUGUAGCAAGGUUAACCGUAUAGGGGAGCCGGAGGGAAACCGAGUCUUAAUUGGGCGUUAAGUUGCAGGGUAUAGACCCGAAACCCGGUGAUCUAGCCAUGGGCAGGUUGAAGGUUGGGUAACACUAACUGGAGGACCGAACCGACUAAUGUUGAAAAAUUAGCGGAUGACCUGUGGCUGGGGGUGAAAGGCCAAUCAAACCGGGAGAUAGCUGGUUCUCCCCGAAAGCUAUUUAGGUAGCGCCUCGUGAAUUCAUCUCCGGGGGUAGAGCACUGUUUCGGCUAGGGGGCCAUCCCGGCUUACCAACCCGAUGCAAACUGCGAAUACCGGAGAAUGUUAUCACGGGAGACACACGGCGGGUGCUAACGUCCGUCGUGAAGAGGGAAACAACCCAGACCGCCAGCUAAGGUCCCAAAGUCAUGGUUAAGUGGGAAACGAUGUGGGAAGGCCCAGACAGCCAGGAUGUUGGCUUAGAAGCAGCCAUCAUUUAAAGAAAGCGUAAUAGCUCACUGGUCGAGUCGGCCUGCGCGGAAGAUGUAACGGGGCUAAACCAUGCACCGAAGCUGCG
rnacentral:rRNA from 1 species